rnacentral:rRNA from 1 species
GACGGAGGAUGCAAGUGUUAUCCGGAAUCACUGGGCGUAAAGCGUCUGUAGGUGGUCAAAUAAGUCAACUGUUAAAUCUUGAGGCUCAACCUCAAAAUCGCAGUCGAAACUAUUAGACUAGAGUAUAGUAGGGGUAAAGGGAAUUCCCGGUGUAGCGGUGAAAUGCGUAGAGAUCGGGAAGAACAUCGGUGGCGAAGGCGCUCUACUGGACCACAACUGACACUCAGGGACGAAAGCUAGGGGAGCGAAUGGG